rnacentral:rRNA from 1 species
GACAGAGGCCUCAAGCGUUAGGCGGAAUCACUGGGCUUAAAGCGUGUGUAGGCGGAUCGUUAAGUGUCUUGUGAAAUCCCACGGCUCACCCGUGGAACUGCUGGGCAUACUGGCGAUCUUGGGCCACUUAGGGGUUACCGGAACAAACGGUGGAGCGGUGAAAUGCGUAGAUAUCGUUUGGAACGCCAAUGGUGAAAACAGGUAACUGGGAGUGUGCCGACGCUGAGACACGAAAGCCAGGGGAGCGAACGGG